GCCCUCAUCGUCUAGAGGCCUAGGACAUCGCUCUUUCAAGGCGAAGACAGGGAUUCGAAUUCCCUUGAGGGCG
rnacentral:tRNA from 1 species